GGGUUGUGAGGUUAAGCGACUAAGCGUAAACGGGGGAUGCCCUGGCAGUCAGAGGCGAUGAAGGACGUGCUAAUCUGCGAUAAGCGUCGGUAAGGUGAUAUGAACCGUUAUAACCGGCGAUUUCCGAAUGGGGAAACCCAGUGUGUUUCGACACACUAUCAUUAACUGAAUCCAUAGGUUAAUGAGGCGAACCGGGGGAACUGAAACAUCUAAGUACCCCGAGGAAAAGAAAUCAACCGAGAUUCCCCCAGUAGCGGCGAGCGAACGGGGAGCAGCCCAGAGCCUGAAUCAGUAUGUGUGUUAGUGGAAGCGUCUGGAAAGGCGCGCGAUACAGGGUGACAGCCCCGUACACAAAAAUGCACAUGCUGUGAGCUCGAUGAGUAGGGCGGGACACGUGGUAUCCUGUCUGAAUAUGGGGGGACCAUCCUCCAAGGCUAAAUACUCCUGACUGACCGAUAGUGAACCAGUACCGUGAGGGAAAGGCGAAAAGAACCCCGGCGAGGGGAGUGAAAAAGAACCUGAAACCGUGUACGUACAAGCAGUGGGAGCUCGCUUAGGCGUGUGACUGCGUACCUUUUGUAUAAUGGGUCAGCGACUUAUAUUCUGUAGCAAGGUUAACCGAAUAGGGGAGCCGAAGGGAAACCGAGUCUUAACUGGGCGUUAAGUUGCAGGGUAUAGACCCGAAACCCGGUGAUCUAGCCAUGGGCAGGUUGAAGGUUGGGUAACACUAACUGGAGGACCGAACCGACUAAUGUUGAAAAAUUAGCGGAUGACUUGUGGCUGGGGGUGAAAGGCCAAUCAAACCGGGAGAUAGCUGGUUCUCCCCGAAAGCUAUUUAGGUAGCGCCUCGUGAAUUCAUCUCCGGGGGUAGAGCACUGUUUCGGCAAGGGGGUCAUCCCGACUUACCAACCCGAUGCAAACUGCGAAUACCGGAGAAUGUUAUCACGGGAGACACACGGCGGGUGCUAACGUCCGUCGUGAAGAGGGAAACAACCCAGACCGCCAGCUAAGGUCCCAAAGUCAUGGUUAAGUGGGAAACGAUGUGGGAAGGCCCAGACAGCCAGGAUGUUGGCUUAGAAGCAGCCAUCAUUUAAAGAAAGCGUAAUAGCUCACUGGUCGAGUCGGCCUGCGCGGAAGAUGUAACGGGGCUAAACCAUGCACCGAAGCUGCGGCAGCGACGCUUAUGCGUUGUUGGGUAGGGGAGCGUUCUGUAAGCCUGCGAAGGUGUGCUGUGAGGCAUGCUGGAGGUAUCAGAAGUGCGAAUGCUGACAUAAGUAACGAUAAAGCGGGUGAAAAGCCCGCUCGCCGGAAGACCAAGGGUUCCUGUCCAACGUUAAUCGGGGCAGGGUGAGUCGACCCCUAAGGCGAGGCCGAAAGGCGUAGUCGAUGGGAAACAGGUUAAUAUUCCUGUACUUGGUGUUACUGCGAAGGGGGGACGGAGAAGGCUAUGUUGGCCGGGCGACGGUUGUCCCGGUUUAAGCGUGUAGGCUGGUUUUCCAGGCAAAUCCGGAAAAUCAAGGCUGAGGCGUGAUGACGAGGCACUACGGUGCUGAAGCAACAAAUGCCCUGCUUCCAGGAAAAGCCUCUAAGCAUCAGGUAACAUCAAAUCGUACCCCAAACCGACACAGGUGGUCAGGUAGAGAAUACCAAGGCGCUUGAGAGAACUCGGGUGAAGGAACUAGGCAAAAUGGUGCCGUAACUUCGGGAGAAGGCACGCUGAUAUGUAGGUGAAGUCCCUCGCGGAUGGAGCUGAAAUCAGUCGAAGAUACCAGCUGGCUGCAACUGUUUAUUAAAAACACAGCACUGUGCAAACACGAAAGUGGACGUAUACGGUGUGACGCCUGCCCGGUGCCGGAAGGUUAAUUGAUGGGGUUAGCGCAAGCGAAGCUCUUGAUCGAAGCCCCGGUAAACGGCGGCCGUAACUAUAACGGUCCUAAGGUAGCGAAAUUCCUUGUCGGGUAAGUUCCGACCUGCACGAAUGGCGUAAUGAUGG
rnacentral:rRNA from 1 species